rnacentral:rRNA from 1 species
UGGUUCUGGCAUCGAUGAAGAACGCAGCCAAAUGCGAUACGUAGUGUGAAUUGCAGAAUUAAGUGAAUCAUCGAAUCUUUGAACGCACAUUCCGCCCUUUGGUAUUCCAAAGGGCAUGCCUGUUCGUGCGUCAUUUGUACCCUCAAGCUUUGCUUGGUGUUGGGCGUCUCGUCUCUCACGAGACUCGCCUUAAAAUGAUUGGCAGCCGACCUACUGGUUUCGGAGCGCAGCACAAUUCUUGCACUUUGAAUCAGCCUUGGUUGAGCAUCCAUCAAGACCCUAUUUUUUAACUUUCGACCUCGGACCAGGUAGG